rnacentral:rRNA from 1 species
CCUACGGGGGGCAGCAGUGAGGAAUAUUGGUCAAUGGGCGCGAGCCUGAACCAGCCAAGUCGCGUGAGGGAUGAAGGUUCUAUGGAUCGUAAACCUCUUUUAUAAGGGAAUAAAGUGUGGGACGUGUCCUAUUUUGUAUGUACCUUAUGAAUAAGGAUCGGCUAACUCCGUGCCAGCAGCCGCGGUAAUACGGAGGAUGCGAGCGUUAUCCGGAUUUAUUGGGUUUAAAGGGUGCGUAGGCGGACUGUUAAGUCAGCGGUAAAAGCCCGGGGCUCAACCCCGGCGAGCCGUUGAAACUGGCUGUCUUGAGAUGUCGAGAGGUAUGCGGAAUGCGCAGUGUAGCGGUGAAAUGCUUAGAUAUUGCGCAGAACUCCGAUUGCGAAGGCAGCAUACCGGCGGCGAUCUGACGCUGAGGCACGAAAGCGUGGGUAUCGAACAGGAUUAGAUACCCUUGUAGUC